GGCUUCUCUAAGGUUACUGAAACCCUGCGACAGGAGGCGGACCAGAUGAAGGCCAAAGGGCCACUGCAAGAGAAGUUGGUCGUUCACACAAGACAAACAAAUGAGAGGACGGUAUAAUGCAGAGACACUCAAUGGGGAAACGGUUCAACACUGCAGCUGGAAUUGCUCGCUAGUUCAGCACUGAACAGGGUGCUUCUGUUUAGAGGGACAUUGCAGAGAUAACAAAACACCACAGCAGGCUUUUUUCCAACCUUCAAACACACACAAAAACAAACAGCCAAAGCGAUUGAAACGUUGUGUGGAGUGUUCAAACAGAAGCCCUAAUAAAUGGUGAUACAUUAAAGGAGAGGCUGCAGAGGGUCUCUUAAAGCUCUGUGGAUUAUUGAUCAGGAAUCAGGAUGUGCUGAGGGAUUCUGCAGUCCUCCUGUUCCGGCCUCACUCAAGUGUCCAGAGCACCACGCUCUGUGUUAAUGCCUCAAACCUCUGACAGCCCCCUGAACAAACACAGCUCAGUGAGAGAGGAUGAAAAGGGGGAAACUGAAGCUGAAGGAGGAAAGAAACGCUGUCAAAUUUUUACAAAAAAAGAAAAAAGUGGACUAGAGAUUGGA